rnacentral:rRNA from 1 species
GACGAACGCUGGCGGCGUGCUUAACACAUGCAAGUCGAACGGAAAGGCCUGCUUUCCCUUGUGGAUUGCGGGUACUCGCGUGGCGAACGGGUGAGUAACACGUGAGUGAUCUGCCCCCAACUUGGGUAUAAGCCUGGGAAACUGGGUCUAAUUCCCGAUAGGACUGCAGGGUGGUGCCUGUGGUGGAAAACGAUUUUCUAGUGGUUGGGGAUGAGCUCGCGGCCUAUCAGCUUGUUGGUGGGGUAAUGGCCUACCAAGGCGGCGACGGGUAGCCGGCCUGGGGGGGUGGACGGCCACAGUGGGACUGCGAUACGGCCCAGACUCCUACGGGAGGCAGCAGUGGGGAGUAUGGCACAAUGGGCGGAAGCCUGAUGCAGCGACGCCGCGGGGGGGAUGACGGCCUUCGGGUUGUAAACUCCUUUCGAUCGCGAGGAAGCCACCUGGUUGGAAGGGUGGUGACGGUAGUGGGAGAAGAAGCACCGGCUAACUACGUG